GGGAGAAAAAGGGAAGGCGCCCCAGUGUUGAUCCCCUAGGACUCUGGUGGAGCGCGGUGGGGGCGGAGUCUGUUGUCAGGGCAACCCGGGGUGGCGGGCCCUGGGUCCAUCUUUUCUUUUUUUUCCGGUUCGCUCUGUGUGCUCGCCUUUCCUCACUCUAGUUGCCAGAAGAAUGCACACGUCAUCGUUCUGCUUCCUCUUCUCUCCUUAGUUUGCUUGUUUCUCCAAGGUCUGAAUCUCUCCCUACGCGAUCAGGUUGACCUCUGUCAUUUCCCCGGGUUACUCACAUCCCGGAUGCCUCCAGCCAGUCUUGAUGCCUUGGCCUGUGUGAUAGGCAGUCUCUCGAUUUCUCCUUUAGGUCCACACUUCCCAAGCGAGGAGUUUGUACUUCCCUUUCCUGCCGAUGAGCGGCCACAGCUGGAUUCUGAGCCCAACCUGUUUUUUGGAGAGAUUGAUCUGGCACCGGUGGGGAAACAGCCAAAGGCAGGGAGGCCACUUGGGAAGCCCCUAGAGAUAACGGUGGCCCAAAUGAAGACAACACAGUGGGAAUUGCUGGGGCGGGGAUGCCAGGAAGAGGCAGAGAGAAGCCUAGGGAAUGCAGAGUCUGGGAUGGCUGUGGUCCUGAGGAGGGACACACAGAGAUUUGGGAGGUAAAUCUCAUUAUCCCCUUGAAUUCAGGUAUUCUGGUUCAAAAGCUGAUGCACUCCACCCCCCCUCCCCCACUGCCCCAUCACAAACUCUAGGAAUAAACUCCUAUGAAGGACGUCUGACUGUUAGCCGUGGUGUAAUUUAGGGUAAAAACAGUGGUGGCUAUAACAGAGUAGGUGGGAUCAUUUCCGUCCUCCAGACACACCCUCCACCCUUCUCCAUCAUUCUCCGUGGAGUAGGCUGACCUUUAUGCACUGAAUCAGGAGUCUCUCUGGUCAGGGCGCCUGGGUGGCUGAGUAGGUUAGGUGUCCGACUUGGGCUCAGGUCAUGAUCUCACCCUUCAUGGGUUUGACCCCACAUUGGGCUCCGUGCUGACAGCUCGGAGCCUGGAGCCUGCUUCAGAUUCUGUGUCUCCCUCUUUCUGCCCCUUCCCUGCUCACGCUCUGUCUCUCUCCCUCAAAAAAUAAAUGAACAUUAAGAAAAAAAGAAAAAAAGAAAGGAGUCUCCCUGGUCCUCUCUACCCGGGACUCCUCUACCAGACAACUGCUGUCAUCUGGCCUUUCUUUCUUUCUAUUUUUUUUUAAUAUUUAUUCAUUUUUUUGAGAGACAGAGCGCGAGUGUGGGAGGGCCAGAGAGAGAGAGGGAGACACAGAAUCUGAAGCAGGCUCCAGG